UAGCUUAGUGGUAGAGCACUUGCCUAGCAUGUGUGAGGCCCUGGGUUCAAUCCCCAG
rnacentral:tRNA from 1 species